AAUCUGUAUUUGAAUAAUUAUAUAUACAGUAUGUAAUUAUAUAUUUGUAUCAAACUGAGAUGUAGCUUUUGCUUAUAUGUAAAAUAUGUACUCUUUAGGUCUUCAAUUCUUUUCCCUUAGAAUAAUAGUUAUUUUGGGUUAAAUUACAAGAAAUCAAUUCUUUGAUGACAAAAAUAAUUUAAAGGAAGUGUGUCUUAAAUAUGAGUUAGUUGUUUUUUUGACUCAUGAGAUAAAUUAGUUUAAUUACACGUGGCAGUUUUCUUGGCUAGUGAUGUAAUGUGAAAUAAAAUUCUCCCUUUCCCCUCCCUGAAAACUGAAGCCAAUUAAUAGAACUUUUAAGCUCUUUGUCAUAGGCCACCAUGAAGGUCUGCCGAGAAGAACUUUAAUCCAAUAAACAUUUCAUUUAGAUCAUGAAAAGAAAGCAUGAGGAGAAGCUCCUGUAUGAGAGGGUGUUACUAUGAUUCCAACCAUGAAGAGAUGUGAGGAAUUUGCCAAAUUAACCAAGGGGUCCUCAUAUUUAAAGCAUAAAUGUGUCAAAACUAACAGAAUAAUUAUUUAAUUUGCUUGAACUCUAUAUUGAGAAAACUCUAAAAAGCCACAACUGUUUUCUUCAAAGCCUUCACUGUUGGGCUGGAUGGACAGGGCAAAGGGAGGUUGUGAGAAAUCCAGAUAGCAAAUAACACUGGCCGAAGCUGGUCAGAAAAGGGAAUAGAUAAUUAGACGUAAUUAGUGUGUAUGAAUUGUUGUCUCUCUGCCCUUAGCUUGAAUAAAUUUUGAAGAAAAAACCCGAGUGGUGAAAACCCUUUGAUGUAGGAAGAGUCAUUGUGGCUUGGCAGCAUAAAGGCAGUGUUUUAUAUGUCUUACAUAAUGGUUGUGGUACAGAAAGAGUGAAUGGACUGUGCACCCCCCUGUCUGCUUUACAGCAAGGACUUUUGGAUUCUCUUGAAACAAAAUGCAUCACAAGUUUUCAGUUGUUAGUAAUGAGGUAGCGGACCUCAUCAGUGCUCCGAGGAAGCCAUCUUUAGCUUUUGUUUAAAUCUUAAUCACAGUUUUUUUCUUUCUGGGAAAUCUGUUUUCCUAAAUUAACACUUCUUUUUCCUUUUUUGCUUGCACCUCCAAUAAGAGAAAGGAAUAAUGAUCACGAAGGCUAGAGAAGAGUUAAAGAAAAAUUAUCACAAAAAGACAUACAUUUUUGUGCUUCUAAACCAUGUGAAAAAGAUGCUUGCUAUAUUCCCUUUUGUCUCAGAUCAGUAACAUUCUGAAAAAGUGCCAAUGAACAGUGAAAUGACAAAAAGUUGAGCAAAUACAAUGAAGAAAGAGCAGAACCAGAGUUUACAAUAUUUAUAAACCCUCUUCUGGAUACUAAAAGUCUUAAUAAUGAAGUGUCUGGAACUAGAUGGUUUAUUUUUUAAGCUAAACAUUUUAUUGAGAUUUAGCUUUUUUUUUAAAUUCCAUAAGUUGUGAUUAUAGUGUAAAUGAAUCACAUACAUUGUACAUUUAUAGUGUGGUUUUAAUUUUUGAGACAAAAAGCUAUUGUUUACUUCUGAUUAUUUGUGUAGAAGAAGAAAAAAUCUUACGGAUAAAUUUGCCGGAUUUUGAAAAAAAUUGAGUUUGUAAAGCUGCAUAUAUGGCAGGAAGUUCCUGUCAGUCUGGAGAUGUAUCACACAGCCCCUCCUGUGGGAGCAGGGAAAGCUUGCAGGAGCUGCAGUUACGUGUUUGGCAGCAUGGCUAUAAAAAAGGUUCUUGAAAGGUACAUGUAUCAACUUCUUUUCAGUCUGUGAUAUAUUAUUAUUAUUAUUAUUAUGAUGUUUUUCUUUUUUAACCUCACGAAUGAGAGCUAUGGUUUUCUUGCAUGAAGUAAGUGGGAGAAGAAUAGAAUAUUAGUUUAAAUUCUGUUUGUUAUGACAGAACUGGAACUGUAUGAUAGCUGUGAUUUCAACAAGACAGCUAUAAGCUUUUUCAAAGUCCCACUAUUUGGAGAUAAUACAUGGAGUUCUCUGAGAUCUUUUCUUUUAUAAAAUUUCCUGAGAGAUAAAUGAAUUCAUAUUAGGUUAAAAAAACCCCAACCAUUACAUAAAUGAAUAUGUAAUGAAUAUCAAAAGCUUCCCCUUCACUAUUUUUUCUUUCCCCAUUUCUUCCUGCCCUCCAUUCCAAUCUCAUUUCUACUUCCCUCCUCAGGAGUAGCCACUGUUAAACAUUUAAUGUGGAGGAGUGACAUCAGCAUCAUGGCUGAAUAAGGUCUCUUGUUUGUGUUCCUCCACCACUCACAACAAUUUGGCAUCCACCCACAGACACAGGAGUCUUUGAAGGAGUUGUUGGAUCCAGCACCACACACCAGGAGGUCCAGGAGGAAGCUCUCCCACCCAUGUAUCAGUUAAUAUGCAUACAGACCUUGGUCCUGGUUGUGAACCCUGCAGUGGCCUAGGAACCAGCUCCAGCCUCUCUCAGCCACAGACUGGGAGCCUCUGAAAACACUAUCUUACAUUAUCAUCCAAGGAUGAGAGAGCUUUUGUGGAAAAGUUUCAGCACAUCAUUGGAGAAAAAAAAAUUAGAUGCAUUGGAGAGGGUAAGAGGAGCAGUUGGACUUUACCCAAAAAGUUUCAGCACACUAUUGGAGGAAAAGAAAACAAGUUUGGACUCAUCGGAGAGGGUAAGGCGAACAGUUGGACUUUACUCACAUUAGUCAUUCCACAAGGCACAGCUUAGGACCAAGAAAGAUUUUCUUGCCUUGUUACUUCUCCUGCAGGGCAAAGUAAAAGCAUGCGGAGUGAUCGCCUGGCUUUCCCAGCUGUGUGGGAUGCUUCUGAAGAUGCUCAUUUCUCUUUUGCCUCAUCCAGAGUACCAAAUUGUGAGCUGCAUGACUGGAGGGCAGAAAGAGUCUGGGAGAGAAGUAGAUAGGACUCUUGGAGGGCAAUAAAGGGAAGGAGAUCCUACUAACUGCUUAAUGGAUACCAUUAAGAAGCCUGCUCAUGAGCCACUGGGAACACCUUACCCACAGAUUCUCCCAAAGGGUAUCCUCAGCCUGAUGUGUGCCUCACACAUUCAUACUUUGCAGCUGGUGCCCUGUAUGUGUUCCUGAUGGUGAUGGCAAGAAUGAGCUUUGGCAGAUGGCUAGUGAGCAUGUUCUAGCCCAGGCAGAGAGCACAAACUUGAGCUUUAGUGCCACAGUGCCACUUUGGAAAAAAAUAAGGGAAGCUGUCAGCUCUUAGCCUGGUGUAUUGCAAGAACAAUAGAAAGCUUAGAAGCUUAAGAAUUCUGCCACAAGAGGGAGCAAGAAUUGUGGAGUAGGUGUAUCCGUAGAUGGCCUAAGAAGACCUCAGAAUUCUCAGAAUUCUCUGAAUUCUUAGCAGGCUGUUGGAAGGUACUUCUCUCCUGAAAAAAAAAAUUGUAAAGAUUAGAGGAGGUGACUGCUACUUAAAUGUGAAGAGAGCAAUGCAGAACUUUUAAGGAACGUGAACAAUCGAGGAAACAUGACAUCACGGAAGGGUCACUGUAAUCUUCCUGUAACUGACCCCCAAAGACAUAGAGAUCUGCAAUUUACCCUGUAAAGAAUUCAGAAUUGCUGUUUUAAAGAAAUUCAAUGACUAUAAGAAAAUACAAUUUAACAAAAUCAGGAAAAUAAUACACAAAAUAAAAAAUUUAAGAAAAAGCUAGAAAUUAUACAAAGGAAUUAAAUUCCAAAGCUGAAAAAUACAAUGCAUGAAAUGGAAAAGUAAUGCAAUAGAGCAUCAAUGUCAACCUUGAUCAAGAAGAAUCAGUGAGAUUGAAGACAGGAACUUUAAAAUUAUCCAUUCAGAGGAGAACUAAGAGAAAAAAAUGAGAGAGAGUGAAGAAAGCCUAUAUAAUCUAUGAGAUAUCAUCAAAAGAAAUAGUCUGUAAAUUAUUGGGGUUUCAGAAGGAGAAGAAAGAGAAAAGAGGAAGAACAUUUAUUUAAAGAAAUAGUGGCAGAGAACUCUCAAUCAGGGAAGAGAUUUGGAAUCUAAGUUCAUGAAGCUUAUAGGUCAUCAAAAAAUUAAAGAAUUCUUUUCAAGAUACAUUAUUAUAAAAUUGUCAAAAAAUCAAAGACAAGGAGAGAAUCUUAAAAGCAGCAAGAGAGAAGAAACUUGCAACUUACAAGGGAACCUCCAUAAGAUGAUCAGCAGAUUUCUCAGCAGAAACAGGCCAGGAGAAAGUGGGAUGAAUAUAUUCAAAGUGCUGAAAUUAAAAAAAAAAAAACAAAACUACCAAUCAAGAAUACUCUAUCCAGCAAAAUUAUCCUUCACAAAUAAAGUAUAGAUAAAACCUUUCCCAGACAAACAAAAGCUGAGGGAUAUUAUCAUCACUAGAUCUGCCUUACAAGAAAUGCUGAAAGAAAUCCUUUAAACUGAAAUAAAAGGGCAGUACUUAGUAACAUGGAAACAUAACACUAUACAAUAAACUGGUAAAGAUAACUACAUGCAGCUAUUCCUCAAUUUAUGAUGGCAUUACAUCCUUAUAAACACAUUGCAAGUUGAAAAAAUCAUUAAUUUGAAAAUGAAUUUAAUACACCUAACCUACCAAAUGUCAUAGCUUAGCUUACCUUAAACAUGCUUAGAACACUUACAUUAUUCUACAGUUGAGCAAUUAUUUUGCAUUUUAUCUCAAGAGUAAUUGCCUUUCUCUUUU